GGGGGAAAAGAAACAUCCCUUGCUGCUGGAGAAGCCAAAAAGGAUAGUGACAUCACAGACAAAACCACCAAUCAGGGCCACGAGGAAUAAAGCCAGCUCUCAGCCAGAGUAUCUUAGCUAUGCAAUACCUACCUGGGACUUGAUUACACCAUGAGCUGCAGUGUUCUCUUCUAUGUUUUCCUAUGUCUCCUGGGGGCAGCACUCACAAACACUAAAGUUACCCAGACACCAAGAUAUCUGGUUAUGGGAAGAGCAAGUAAGAAGUCUUUGAAAUGUGAGCAACAUCUGGGACAUAAUGCUAUGUACUGGUACAAACAGAAUGCUGAGAAGCCUCCAGAGCUCAUGUUUUCGUACAACGUUAGGAAACUGAUUGAAAACGCGACUGUGCCCAUUCGUUUCUUACCUGAAUGCCCGGACAGCUCCCAUUUACUCCUUCACCUGUCUGCCCCGGAGCCAGAAGACUCAGCUGUAUACUUUUGUGCCAGCAGCCAAGACACAGCCCUACAGAUUCAUCAGCUCUCUGUGCACAAACCUACAAGUUCAGGAAGCUGUGGGGCAGCUGAGGUCUCCACUGAACAUUUCAUAUAGGACCCAAGACAGAUGUUGCAAACCAUAACACUCCCUUCUAACUCAACCCCUGCCUCACCUCUAUAUUCCAUGUCCGUAUUCAGAGGUGAUGUUUGCUUCACUUGUACA